UUCAGCUGCUUAAUUUAUGGUUUAAUAACUAAUUACUGCGAAGCAGAGGGAGGGAACACACGAGCAAAGUUAAUGGUGAUUAUAAAGUGGUUAGGUUCUUGUUGUGUUCUGCUAAUUAACCGACAGUUUGGACGGAUUUUCUUAUGAAAAAUUUUGGUCACAUCCUUUUCAAUGAAUUAAAAUGUUAAAGAGAGAGAGAGAGUUCGUUUUUCUAUGAAUAUUGUAAGUGACGGGUGAUGGGUAAGGGGGUGGUACUGCCUAGGCGAGAGUCUUCGACGUCUAUGCCAAUGCCAAAGAAUAGGUAAAUGAAGUUGAUGUCGGGAGGCGGGGUCACCUAAAGGACUCAUGGCGAGCAUGGACACAAACUUGGACCACAACUCUACAUGGUCCACACUGCAAAUUUGAAGCGUGCAUGGAGAGAAAAAGAAAAAGCUGCUAGGGAUCUCAUGGAAACUCAUCUUGGGAUCGCCAAUCAUAGAUCUUUUGUCAUUUACUACCAAAGCAAAAGUAGCCAAAAACAAAGUGGACCACGCCAAGUUGCAGGGAGGGCAGGCUGAUUCCAUUGACAACUUUUACGCGGUUUUGCUAAAAUUUGAAAAUUGUUCAAAGGGGGUUAGUUCGACUUAGUUUAAGAAUGGUGGAUGAAUUAAUGGAUGACACACUUGCUGCCUUCUCAUUUGUUAGCAAGCCUCCCAAAGAAUUGUCAAUUUCUCUCCUGAAAGCUGCUGUCGCUUAUUGCAGCAGCAUUGUCUGAGCCUUUUGAAGAUAAAAACAAUGGCGAUAUCUUGUUUUC